CACACACACAUACGGGAGGAAGAGAAAGGAAAAGGAUGCGCCGCAUGGACAGGUUGCGCACACCGUCGUUGUCGCUGCGGCGCCUGUCGAGCGCCGGCAUUGACCAUUGCCGCUUUAUCAAGGCUACCCCAUUGCGACUCGUCAGCUCCAUUCCCCCGCCGAGCCAGACUCCGAACAUGAGCGGGUGUGGCAGCGUUCCAUCGCUGGUUUCGGCAGGCGCAACACGAUGUCCGGUGCGUGCCGCGUCAUCACAAUCUGCGCCUCCAUUUUCAGAGUCCAUCACCUGCACCGGUGGCGACGCAGCGGACUCGAGACAACACGAGGCACUUACGUCUUCCCCGUGUUCGUCGGCACAGCCUACAGAGGUGCCGCCCAAAGUGGCUGGCGACGCUGUGAUGAAGGCCAGCCACGCAAGUUUACGCGCCUUUUCCUCUGCCGCCGCUUCUGCGCCCGAAGCGACGAUGGAGAGAGGCACGCGCAGCGGUGAUCGUCCGUCCAAGUCAAGCUGCACUCGCCAGGCGCCGUCGGCUGAAUUGAUCGGGAAAAGCAAGCAUGCACCGCGCAGCGACCUGAAGAUAAAGAAGAAGGCACCGUGGGGGGAGCGGCAGCUACGCGACUCGUGGAGUGAGGACGCCAUGUCGAAGCGGGAUCGUGACAACAUGGACGAGCGGAUUCACCGCGAGUACCGCUACCACCCAGACGAGUUCCGCCGCGGCUACAUACGCUACACCGCAUUUCUCACCAUUCCAUGCAUUAUGUUUGGCAUGUCCGUCACGUACUACUACGAGACAGGGCGGCCGUUCUGGAAAGCCGACUUACAGCACUUGCUGAACCUCUUGCGUGUGAUGGACACCUCACCUCGCAGCAAGCUCUACGCGUACAGGCUAGCCGACACGCAUGACUUGCCGGCUCACGUGCUGCGGCACCGUUCCGAGAACUUUUGGAAGCGGGAGUACGAUGAGCGCGUCUUUCGUUUGACACGCUCGGCCUUUGAGAGACCUAGCACGGACGCCUUGCGUCUGAUGGAGUUGGAGGAGGAUUUAAAGACAAGUGAGGCAGAGUCUGAGGGUGCGGCGCUUGCAGACGCGGCAACGGCGUAACCGUGGAAAGGAUGAGGUAGAGCGACUUCUAGAUAGCCUGCGCCUUCUUUGGUGCAUGCCUGCUGCCUUUCAUCUCUCUUUUUUAUCGUUCGUCUGCCGUCCUGCGGGCGCGCACUUGUCGACGUGCCGGCUCUUUCCUGCUGAGGAAGCGGAGAAGCAAAAAGAAUCAACGGCAGGGGUGGUGGUGGCGGCGUCACAGGUACCUCCCUUCCCCUCCUCCUGUGCCGUUGCAUGCGACAUACCCGCCUGCGUGUUCUCUCGCGGAUCGCCGAGCUGGCGUGAGCCCGUUCUUAUCUUGGGCGACUCAGCUGGCGCGCGUGUGCUCGUGUGCAGGGUAACGGCUGUGCUUUGUUGGCCCUCUCUCACGAGUACACAGAGGUGGAGCAGGGCAGCCCUUGUGGCGUCGUUGCACCUUUACGGAGCCUACG
rnacentral:misc_RNA from 1 species